UUAGGAAUUUUGCGCAAUGGGGGAAACCCUGACGCAGCAAUACCGCGUGUAGGAUGAAGGCCUUCGGGUUGUAAACUACUUUCGACAGGGAAAAAACAAAUGAUGGUACCUGGAGAAGAAGCACCGGCUAACUACGUGCCAGCAGCCGCGGUAAUACGUAGGGUGCAAGCGUUACUCGGAUUUAUUGGGCGUAAAGCGCAUGUAGGUUGUUUCGUAAGUCUGAUGUGAAAUCCCUGGACUCAAUUCAGGAACUGCAUUGGAUACUGCGAGACUAGAGUAUGGGAGAGGUAGGCGGAAUUCCUGGUGUAGAGGUGAAAUUCGUAGAUAUCAGGAGGAACAACAGAGGCGAAGGCGGCUUACUGGACCAUAACUGACACUCAGAUGCGACAGUGUGGGGAGC
rnacentral:rRNA from 1 species